rnacentral:sRNA from 1 species
UGGUCCAAUAUUAAGAUUUGUACUCUCCAUCUAUUAUAUGUACCCGGGUAGAUUAAUAGCGAAGUGAAAACUGAAGAUGGAUUUGGUUGUGUUUAUGUUUGAUGUUAAACUGUGUGAUAACUAAGUAGUGUUGUAUUAUUUUAAUAGCUGUGUACGGUUAAACACAUCCCCAUUCCUGGAAAUCAAAAACAAUACUCUGUUGCAGCAAUAAGAAUUUGAUAAGUUAUGCAGAAUGCUUUUCAUAGUAUUAUAGAUAUACGGUAAUAUGGAAUCAUUAUGCAAGUUUAAAUGGAAAUAUAAUUUCUCUCAUGAUUUUUAUGAUAAUUAAAUAUAGCAAUGGUAAUUUGCUAAGAAUUUUAUUUUACAUUGAAAGAGAUAUCUCAUGAUAUUGUGAUUAAGGUUAUGUUGAAUUAUUUUUCUGGUCAUUUUAUGGAAACACUAGUCAAGUGACAAUCUUUGUGAACUUUGUUGCAUUUUUUCCUAACAAUAAACAUUUACACUUAAAACAAAGAAAGAUAAUUUUACGGAAAGCAUUAGUCAUUUUCAUUGUUUGUUUCAUAUUUACAGCAUCUUUAUAUUUUUCGUCCAUGUAGGAUGCUUUGUCCUUUGGCUUGUCCUCAAGUGCUUUUAUUCACAAUAUAUCUAAGUGCUAUUAUAUAAUUGUACAGCACAUAUGUUUUCAGCAUUAUCAAGUUGAUGCAUUUAAAGUGUUUUUAAAUAAGAUCCUUCAGGCUUGUGAGUUGCAUUAAAUUUGUAUUGUUGUUUUCACAACAGGUUGUCUGUAGUGGCAAUGAAACACAGCAUUACAUGUCUAUAUCGGUAAUCACUUACUUCCUUUUAGAUCUUUACACCAAAUAAUAUGUUGCAUGUAUCUCCUACUUGUCCAGAAAAAAAACCCAUACUGGUUAGCUUACACAUCUUUUUUCCUGUAAACUCAUCAACAUGCAUGAGUUAUAUCAUAAGUACAUAAUUAUGCACUUGUAUCUCCAGAAAUAUAGAGUUAAAAAACGUUUCUCACUGUGUGACAAAAUAGCAGAAAUAAAU